AUACUUAACUGGCAGGGGAGAUACCAUGAUCAUGAAGGGGGUUUUCCCAGGGUGAGGUUUAUCCAUUACACUCCGGAUGUGCUGACCCCUGAGAUUUUCCAAAAUGUGGGAAAUUUGACUAUAAUUUGUGGAGGCAGGAGACUGCAUUUGCACUCUCACC